CUCUCGGCCUCCCGCCGCCUAGGCGCCCGCGAGGGCCCUUCAGGGCUCCCGGCCCUCCUGGAGUGGAGUGAGCGGACGGUUCCCUACCCACCCUCCGAGGACGCCCCCAACCCAGGUUGCAGCCCUCAGCACAGUGUGCCGCGCCUCCAUUUCCAAAUCCGCAGCCUCCGUGACGUGUCCAUACAGAAAGAAUUGACUGGAAGUCUGGAACUGUCAGAAAAUAACUCAAGGCAUAGUUCAGUUGUGAGUUGCAAAAAAUGUUGUCAGAAUCCCUGUCCCCACUCCCUCCUCAGGAAAUCUGACACAAGCUGAACAUGAGCUUUGAUGGCUGUCACCAUGGGAAAAGUCAGGAUGUCAUGUGUGGGAGAACCUGGAAGUAUUGAAUGGUAAAAUGGAUACAGUUGUACAAGAACCCAGCUGACAGCUGGUCAGAUUAUGAAGAUGUGUCAAAUACAGUCCUUACCUUUGAUGAACUUAACAGUCAAAUGUAAGAGACACGCUCACGUACCCAAAUCAUGGUACCAAUUAUAAAAGAUAUUUGAAGAUGCCUUCAGUGCUAUAAGGGUGUCCACAGAGCCAGGGGAGGGAAGGUGGUUGUUUGUUAACAGUUUUAUUGAGAUAAAAUGUAUAUGUGAUAAAAUAUGCGCAUUGGACAUGCACAUUUGAAUGAUUUUUUAGUAAAUUUCCACGAUUGUACACUCAUCACCACAAUCCAGUUUUAGAACAGCAGUAAAUCUCCCUCUUUACCCCCAGUCUCAGAUGCCCAUUGAUCUGCUCUAUCAUCACAGCCUUGCCUCUAGGGCUAAUUUGACCUCACUGCUGAGACAGUGCCCUUCUGAGGACUUUAACAGCACUGAUGGGAACAUGAACUAUUCUUAGCCCUGGACAGAUAAUCCUCUAGGGAUUUUUCUUCCUGCCUCUUUCCUAGGGCUCUUUCCUCUGCCUCGGUAGUUUCCUCACACUCAGCCUAAAUCUCCAGAGGGACUCUGAAAAUCUCUGAGCACAAUGGUCUCUCUCUGGGCAGCUCGCUCUUCUCUGAUGCUUCAUCCCAUAAAUUUUAGUUCCUUUGUUUUCAAGCUCCCAGCUCUGGCUCCUCAACUCAGUGACACUACUGGGCUCAAUUUGUGUUCCUCCUCCCUACGUUGUGGCCUGUGAGCUGGGGUUACUGCUGGGCUUUCAACACAUUUGUUCCCUUAUCUCAGGGUUUGCUGUCCUGCGCUGCCUGUUGUCCACUCUCUGAAAACACAUUGUUUUAUACGUUUUAUCCAGUUUUCUAGCUGCUUAAAGUGAGAGGGUAAGUCUAGCCUCUAUUAUACCAUUAAGACUAGGAGAGCAAGUUCUAAUAUUAAGGGUAUUUUUAAAUUAUUCCCAUGUGCCACCUACCUAUGGCCAGUUCAAUACAAUAGAAUUAAUUCUCAAUAAAUUAGCAGAGGAUUAAUCCAGUUUGAGAUUAAACAUGGAAAAUAUAGAUAUACAUUCCCAACACAUAUAUAUGUGUAUAAAUACUUAAAAAGCAUAAAAAUAAAGGUGAAUCAAUGAAAACCUCUGUAUAUUGUUAUGAACUACAGUAUCUGCCACAAUAUGUCAACCUAGUAACAACCCAUCGCUUUCCAAUUUGCAAGGAGAUAAAUGUCUUCUUAAAUUUCAUAUGGAUAAGGGGUCAAAUGAUUAGUUUUUAGGGUUUUUUUUUAAUGAAUUUAUUUUGUAAACUUUUGCAUGAGAUUUGUAGGGUUGGCUAGGAGAGAAGAGAAUGGCGGUAAAAGAACACUGUGCCACAGCCAACAUCCUACAUGAUGUAUUUAAUGGCAUGCUUUCAUCCAGGCAACUGUAUUUGUAGUCUUGAAAUAUUUUUUUGGCCAUGCUCACAGGAUGUUGAAGUUCCCAGGCCUGGUAUCGAACCCAUGCCACAGCAGUGACCCAAGCCACCACAGUGACAAUGCUAGAUCCUUAACAGCUGAGCCACCAGGGAACUCCAUUGCAAUAUUUUUGAAUGAUAAUUACAGACUGAUAAAUGUGUUCUUUUAUAAGGAUCCUAUGCUUCCUAGUGGCAGAGAUCCCCACCCAAACUAGCUAUUCAAAAAAGGGGGGGGGACUUAAAAAGCUAGCUAUUGACAUCAUCCUUACAAAUGUUUUCUCAGGUAAGAUUCCCAAGGCAACAGAAAUGAAAGCAAAAAUAAACCAAUGGGAGUUCCUGUCAUGGCUGUUAAUGAAUCUGACUAGGAACCAUGAGGUUGUGGGUUCGACCCCUUGCCUUGCUCAGUGGGUUAAGGAUCCAGUGUUGCCGUGAGCUGUGGUGUAGGUUGCAGACAUGGCUUGGAUCUGGUGUUGCUGUUGCUCUGGCAUAGGCCAGCGACUAUAGCUCCGAUUAGACCCCUACNAAUAAACCAAUGGGACCUAAUCAAACUGACAAGCUUUUGCACAGCAAAGGAAACCAUAAAGAAAAAAAUAAGAAGGCAACCUACAGAAUGGGAGAAAAUAGUUUCAAGCAAUUCGGCUGACAAGGGCUUAUUAAUCUCUAAAAUAUACAAACGACUUAUAUAACUCAACAGCAAAAAAAACCAACAACCCAGUUGAAAAAUGGACAAAAGACCUGAAUAGACAUUUUUCCAAAGAAGAUAUAUAGAUGGCCAACAAGCACAUGAAAAAAUUCUCAACAUCACUGAUUAUUAAAGAAAUACAAAUCAAAACUACUAUAAGGUACCACCUCACACCUGUCAGAAUGGCCAUCAUUAAUAAGUCCAUAAAUAACAAAUGCUGGAGAGGGUGUGGAGAAAAGGGAACACUCAUGCACUGUUGGUGGGAAUGUAAAUCAGUACAACCACUAUGGAAAACAGUAUGGAGGUAACUUAGAAAACUAUACAUAGAACUACCAUAUGACCCAGCAAUCCCACUCUUGGAUAUAUAUCCAGACAAAACUUUUCUUGAAAAAGAUGCAUGUACCCAUAUGAUCAUUGCAGCACUAUUCACAAUAGCCAAGAUAUGGAAACAAACUAAAUGUCUAUCCACAGAUGAGUGGAUUAAGAAGAUGAGGAUAUACAUAAUGGAAUACUACUCAGCCAUAAAAAAUAACAAAAUAAUGCCAUUUGCAGCAACAUGGAUGGAACUAGAGACUCUCAUAUUAAGUGAAGUAAGUCAGAAAGAAGAAGAAAAAUACCAUAUGAAAUCACUUAUAUCUGGAAUCUAAUAUAUGGCACAAAUAAACCUUUCCACAGCAAAGAAAUUCAUGGACUUGGAGAACAGACUUGUGGUUGCCUAGGGGGAGGGGGAGGGAGUAGGGUGGGCUGGGAAUCUGAGGUUAAUAAAUGCAAAUUAUUGCCUUUGGAAUGGAUAAGCAAUGAGACCUGGCUGUAUAGCACUGGAAACUAUAUCUAGUCACUUGUGAUGAAACAUGAUGUGAAAAAAACAUGUGUGAGAACAUGAUGUGAGAAAAAGAAUGUAUAUAUGUAUGUGUGACUAGGUCACUUUGCUGUACAGUAGAAAAUUGACAGAACUUGUAAACCAAUUAUAAUGGAAAAAAUAAAAAUCAUUAAAAAAAAAAA
rnacentral:lncRNA from 1 species